UACGGGGGGGCAAGCGUUGUUCGGAAUUACUGGGCGUAAAGGGCGUCGUAGGUGGCCAACUAAGUCAGACGUGAAAUCCCUCGGCUUAACCGGGGAACUGCGUCUGAUACUGGAUGGCUUGAGUUCGGGAGAGGGAUGCGGAAUUCCAGGUGUAGCGGUGAAAUGCGUAGAUAUCGGAGGAACACCGGUGGCGAAGGCGGCAUCCUGGACCGACGACGUGA
rnacentral:rRNA from 1 species